rnacentral:rRNA from 1 species
GACGAACGCUGGCGGCGUGCUUAACACAUGCAAGUCGAACGGAAAGGCCCUGCUUUUGUGGGGUGCUCGAGUGGCGAACGGGUGAGUAACACGUGAGUAACCUGCCCUUGACUUUGGGAUAACUUCAGGAAACUGGGGCUAAUACCGGAUAGGAGCUCCUGCUGCAUGGAGGGGGUUGGAAAGUUUCGGCGGUUGGGGAUGGACUCGCGGCUUAUCAGCUUGUUGGUGGGGUAGUGGCUUACCAAGGCUUUGACGGGUAGCCGGCCUGAGAGGGUGACCGGCCACAUUGGGCCUGCGAGACGGCCCAGACUCCUACGGGAGGCAGCAGUGGGGAAUAUUGCACAAUGGGCGGAAGCCUGAUGCAGCAACGCCGCGUGCGUGAUGACGGCCUUCGGGUUGUAAACCGCUUUCGCCUGUGACGAAGCGUGAGUGACGGUACUGGGUAAAGAAGCACCGGCUAACUACGUG